rnacentral:rRNA from 1 species
GACGAACGCUGGCGGCGUGCUUAACACAUGCAAGUCGAACGAAGAGCGAUGGAAGCUUGCUUCUAUCAAUCUUAGUGGCGAACGGGUGAGUAACGCGUAAUCAACCUGCCCUUCAGAGGGGGACAACAGUUGGAAACGACUGCUAAUACCGCAUACGAUCUAAUCUCGGCAUCGAGGAUAGAUGAAAGGUGGCCUCUACAUGUAAGCUAUCACUGAAGGAGGGGAUUGCGUCUGAUUAGCUAGUUGGAGGGGUAACGGCCCGCCAAGGCGAUGAUCAGUAGCCGGUCUGAGAGGAUGAACGGCCACAUUGGGACUGAGACACGGCCCAGACUCCUACGGGAGGCAGCAGUGGGGAAUCUUCCGCAAUGGACGAAAGUCUGACGGAGCAACGCCGCGUGAGUGAUGACGGCCUUCGGGUUGUAAAGCUCUGUUAAUCGGGACGAAAGGCCUUCUUGCGAAUAGUGAGAAGGAUUGACGGUACCGGAAUAGAAAGCCACGGCUAACUACGUG